GUUCCAAGAAGAGAUACAAACGGUAAUUUUGAUGCUUCUAGUUUCUUUUGCAAUGUGCCAAUGUGGUGAUAUUUUAUGCACAACCCUCAUUUAUUUUAUUUUUGAGUUUUGAUAUAGAAAAUAAAAUAAUAUUAUUGGUGUGAACUCUCAAAUACUCUUGGCACAAACAAUUACUUACAUCUGCACAUUUUUGGUGGCUUCAAUUUCUUGCUAGUAUGAUUAUAUUUUCUGGAUUUCAUUUUCAGAGGUUUUAACAAAAGAUAGAAUCACAUUUGUUUUAACAAAAGUCUGAAAUAUUGUAGUUAAAAUCAAUUGCAUCUUCACGCAUGUCUUUCUUUCCCAAUAUUACUUGUAUCCUUAUGGAAUGAUGCUGUAUUACUUGACGCUUUUGGGAGCACAUGCACAUGCAUAUAUUAGACGAUUUGUAUAUCACUAAAUCUAAAUAUCUAUUCUGUUAUCGUUUGUGAUAUAUCAAUUGAGAAAGAAAAGAGCCUUUUUUAUUUCUAAUGUUUAUACUCAUGAAAUUGAAAUUUUCCAGCUUAACCACAUUGGUCAAAAGUUGACAUAGACUACUUUACCUGGCUAUAUUAACUUGUAAGCAUAUGGAAUCUUUAUGUGAAAGUUGCUUAUGCUUGGUUGAACUGCAAGAUUUUCUUGCAUAAUAGCUUUAUGCAUUCAAUUUCAUUAGCUUGUUUUUCUUUUAAUU
rnacentral:misc_RNA from 1 species